rnacentral:lncRNA from 9 species
AUGUAUCUCCGUGUCAGAGGAGGUGUGGGCAGCCAGAAAUCUCAGUCUAGAGGAAGCAGAAGAAGGACAGAGACCAGUGCCCAUGGCUUGAUGACAGUUCCAGGGAUUAGAAUAUGUUCAUUCUUUCUGUCUCUUUGUCUCUGUGUCACUAGCUUUGCAUCUCUCUUUAUUGCUCUCUCUCUCUCUCUCUCAUGUGUGUGCCUGCAGGCUCUUUUUUCUUUUGAAGCAGAAAAGCUGUUGGGUGGCUCACAGAAUCACCAGGAAGAGGAACACGCAGACCUUCCAAAGGCACAGGAACAAAAGGAAGAACCCCAGGCAAAAUCACUCCCCAGAACUACUGCUGAGGCCCUGCUGGCUCCUGGGUGUUGCCCAAAGAUACCUACCGGGAUCACUUGAUGGUCCAUGGCACUAUGGACUCUGGAGGGAGACCUUUGUAAUAAAUCCCAGCUCUGCAGCUGACUAGCUGUGCGACCUGGGGUAAGAAACAUUAUGUCUUCAUGCCUUGGUUUGUUCAUCUGUAGAAGGGGUGUAACAAUAAUGUUACCCUCAUAGGUAAGGAAUGAAUGAGAAAUGCAUGGAUGCCACUUGGCAGACGGUUAAGUGCUCAAUAGAUGGGAAGCAGUAGCAGCAGCGACAUCUUACUAUUGUCUCCAUCUGCAUCCUUAGCACCACCAUUAUCAUCACCAUCAUUAUUCUUGACUCCUGAAGGCCAGGACCAGAAGGGAGGAUGGCUGCCCCUUCCCGUAGGUCUCCUGAGUGCCUCCUAGACACCCCACCCCCAACCCCUCACAGACAAGGGCCAUUUAGAAGCAUGCUUUUCUCUAAUUCAGUGCUUCCCAAACUGGAGCAUGCAGCAAAAUCACCACCACACACCGCACACACUGCUGGGC